AUUGAACGCUGGCGGCAGGCCUAACACAUGCAAGUCGAACGAGUGGCGGACGGGUGGGUUAUGACUGGGCAAAUGCCUGAUGGAGGGGGAUGACUACUGGAAACGGUAGCUAAAAACGCAUAACAUGGGAGGUGCCCAUAUGGGAUUAGCUAGUAGGUGGGGUAAAGGCUCACCUAGGCGACGAUCCGUAGCUGGUCUGAGAGGAUGACCAGCCACACUGGAACUGAGACACGGUCCAGACUCCUACGGGAGGCAGCAGUGGGGAAUAUUGGACAAUGGGCGCAAGCCUGAUGCAGCCAUGCCGCGUGUAUGAUGAAGGCCUUCGGGUUGUAAAGUACUUUCAGCGGGGAGGCGUUACCCGCAGAAGAAGCACCGGCUAACUCCGUGCCAGCAGCCGCGGUAAUAC
rnacentral:rRNA from 1 species